rnacentral:rRNA from 1 species
CCCUUAGAUGUUCUGGGCCGCACGCGCGCUACACUGAUCAGUGCAACAAGCAUCCGUCCUUGGCCGACAGGCCCGGGCAAUCUUUGAACGCUGAUCGUGAUGGGGAUAGACUUUUGCAAUUUUUGGUCUUCAACGAGGAAUUCCUAGUAAACGCAAGUCAUCAACUUGCAUUGAUUACGUCCCUGCCCUUUGUACACACCGCCCGUCGCACCUACCGAUUGAAUGGUCCGGUGAAGCCUCCGGAUUGGCGUGCACCCUCGGGUGCUGCCGAGAAGUUGGCUAAACCUUACCAUUUAGAGGAAGGUGAAGUCAUAACA